UACACCUGUGGGGGUGGGAGGGGAUGGCCUUAGAAUGUGGCACCUUUUGUUUUCCUAUGAACACUUCUCUCGACUCCUAGGAAACAUAAAUGAUAUCUCAUUGUCUUUAGAUAGUCUUACUGCACUCCACUCCAUCUAGCCCAGUCGAUAAAUUGCAUUCCAGCAUACACGUUAUUGCCAAAUCGAAUACCAACUGUGAAAGCCAAAGCAACUGCCGGAAUAUUCUUUGCUAAUGGCGAUGAUUCAACUACACGUUCUAGUCCAUUAAUGAUCUGGUAGCGCGUGUUUGAAGAUACUGCAAGGAAAACACCCCAAAGAGCUGCGCUCUUAAAGAGAGG
rnacentral:misc_RNA from 1 species